CCUUGGUGGUUUCUCGGAUUUGCAAUCUUGGGCACAACACUUCUAGGUUCUUUGGCUGGUCUAGUAAUUAAAUUGACGUCAGACAGAUUAACAGGAAAAAGAUUUAAUCUCAUGUAUGGGAGCUCCAAAGAUAUGAGGCUCAAAGAAGUGACCAAAGCAGGCAGCUUUCAUACCUUUCAAAGAAAGAACAAAUUUGUGAAGAAUUAGCCAGACAAAGAAGUACCUGCCUAGUGACCAGACAAUCUUUCCAGUGAAGAUAGGAUUCUUCUUUUGGGAUUGGGGCCAUGAUGCAGAUGGACAGCUGAUGUGAAAUAGGACCUGCAUCCAAGCACCUGCACACAUAGGGGAAGAGGAGGCUUGUACACAGACAGGUGAAGUGAAAGGAGGGCAUGACAGAGAUGGAGGUAAGAGCCCCUCCCGCCCCACUCAUGAGGGCACCUGGGAAUGAGGACCCCUGGGCUUCACAUUCCAAUUUCUCAGCAAGGUAAAGUGAAACCACCGUCUGUCCUCAGUUGCCCAGUUCCACUUGGGAAACAUAAUCGGGCCUUGUUUGUCUUCUCCCUCCCAGGACACAGUGGACACGGGGCCUGGCUCCAGAGGAGAAUGUUCCCUCCUUCUCAGUGCAAUCUUGCAAGCUUCCAUGGGGAAUGAUGGGCAUUUCCAUGGUGAUGGUGAUAAUUCUUGAUCUUCUCCCCCUCCAGUCGAUUUGCUGAGGCAGCUGGUGAGAGUGGUGAGGGUGGGAGGAGAAUGAGGCACAGGCACCUUGCCACUCUCUGAGUUCUUGUGCCCUUCCCCAGAGGGGCAGAGAGGGGCAGGCCAGGGGCAGGACUGGCUUUGCGUGGGGUGGGGUGGGGGAGGAAGGGCAGGUACGGUAGCCCUGGUGU
rnacentral:lncRNA from 12 species